rnacentral:rRNA from 1 species
AGUAAAUUAGAGUGUUACAAAGCAGCCUCGUUGGGGCUUUGAAUAGAUUUAGCAUGGGAUAAUAGAAUAGGAUUUGAUAAUCUAUUUGUUGGUUUGAAUUAAUCAAAUAAUGAUUAAUAGGGACAGUUGGGGGCAUUCAUAUUAAGUGGUUAGCGGUGAAAUGUGUGGACCCACUUAAGAUGAACUAAAGCGAAAGCAUUUGCCAAGGAUGUUUUCAUUAAUCAAGAACGAAAGUUAAGGGAUCGAAGACGAUUAGAUACCGUCGUAGUCUUGACUGUAAACUAUGCCGACCAGGGAUAUGAGUAGUAUAUUUCAACAGAUUUAGGUUUGUUGAUACUUCUCCUUAUGCACCUUGUGAGAAAUCAUAAGUUUUUGGGUUCUGGGGGAAGUAUGGUCGCAAGGCUGAAACUUAAAGGAAUUGACGGAGGGGC